ensembl:lncRNA
CGUUUUCUAGAUUCUGUGUUUGUCAUAGAAAGAUGGUGCCAACGCUGCUGAUCACAGCAUUACAGGCCAUCUCCAACUGCGUGAUUAUCAUGUUCUCCUGCUACGGACUGGUCGUCUAUGGAGCAUGGCUCCAUAAAUAUCACAACAAUGAUCUCUGGCUCAUUCGAAUACUGGUGCAAAACGGAGUGGCUUUGUAUGCAACAUGGUGGGCUGUGGCUACCUUUUUACACUUGACCGUUGUUUUAGACCAUCAAACCCCAAUACCCAAGACAGAUGCUGCCAUAAUGGUACUAGUGCUGCUCCAAUUGGGACUCAUAGGAUGGUUUGUCAUAGAGAACUGGUAUCUGGAUAAGCACGUGCGCUACAUCCUCACAGUGUACCCUGUGGUGAUCCUGGUGUUGGCCGCGAGUGUGGCCAAUCCAGCCACGCCCGGUACCCACAUAGACAUCAUGUCUGCUGUCAUAUUGGCCAUAACUAGUGUCAUAUUCAUUGUGCGCAUUGUCAUGGUGUUAUGGAAGCACAACAACAAACCGUUUUACGGAGAAGAGGAGCUCAUGUCUCCAGUGGACAUCGCCAGAACACAGAAGCUCAUCUUUAUGUAGGAAGAAGAGAGCCACUGCGGAGAUUCACGUUUGAAUGUUGUUUUCCUAAACGUUUAAUGGCUGAGACGUGAUCAAACUCUCCCUGUGUUGGAUUCAUAAGGCUUUGCUUCAGCAAGACAUGUAGAGUGCUGGUGUGUGAGGCGAGCGUUCUACAGUUGAUAGCUUGACAGGGAGGAUGUACCGCUCCCGUGUGUCUCCGUAUGGCCAGGGCAGUAUGGAGAGACAUCAUCACCAUGUGGUCCUACACGGUGUUUGUAUCGCUCUGGCCAUGUUUAGCCAGGUGGCUUCCGAGACCUUCC